AUCUUAUCAAGAGCAGGUGGAGGGACAAGCCCGAUGAUACCCGGCAACCGACCUAAUUCAGGCACGGUGCUAAUUCUUGCAGUUUCGGCUGAGAGAUAAGAG
rnacentral:ncRNA from 1 species